GUGAGACAGACAAAUAAAGUAUUAUGAGUUACGAAGAUAUGCUGCAAAACACAGUGAUUAUUGAAGCAUCCUAGAACUUAAGCAUGUCUAGUUAGAGUGAUUUGGUUGUGAAGGGUGUGACUCCUCUGCCACCUUAUCCUUGCUGCACAUUGCUCUUCCUGCUUCUUCUACUGUUUUCACAAAUGUGGCCAUUAUUUUAGCUUUGAUCUGGCCUCUUUUUGGAGGGACCCUAACCAUCUUAGAUGCUGGAGAUUUGAUAUUUUCAUUGGUUUUUGACAUUAAGUUACUUCAAAUGAAUGACUUUUGAGAAAAACAAAGUAGAAGAGAAGCAACAGAUAGAAUAUGCAAGAGAAAAAUGGCUUAAAG
rnacentral:lncRNA from 1 species